AGUCGAGCGCACCUUCGGGUGAGCGGCGGACGGGUUAGUAACGCGUGGGAACAUACCCUUCUCUAAGGAAUAGCCACUGGAAACGGUGAGUAAUACCUUAUACGCCCUUCGGGGGAAAGAUUUAUCGGAGAUGGAUUGGCCCGCGUUAGGUUAGAUAGUUGGUGGGGUAAUGGCCUACCAAGUCUACGAUCUAUAGCUGGUUUUAGAGGAUGAUCAGCAACACUGGGACUGAGACACGGCCCAGACUCCUACGGGAGGCAGCAGUGGGGAAUCUUAGACAAUGGGCGAAAGCCUGAUCUAGCGAUGCCGCGUGAGUGACGAAGGCCUUAGGGUCGUAAAGCUCUUUCGCCAGGGAUGAUAAUGACAGUACCUGGUAAAGAAACCCCGGCUAACUCCGUGCCAGCAGCCGCGGUAAUACGGAGGGGGUUAGCGUUGUUCGGAAUUACUGGGCGUAAAGCGCACGUAGGCGGACUAUUAAGUCAGAGGUGAAAUCCCAGGGCUCAACCCUGGAACUGCCUUUGAUACUGGUAGUCUUGAGUUCGAGAGAGGUGAGUGGAAUUCCGAGUGUAGAGGUGAAAUUCGUAGAUAUUCGGAGGAACACCAGUGGCGAAGGCGGCUCACUGGCUCGAUACUGACGCUGAGGUGCGAAAG
rnacentral:rRNA from 1 species